rnacentral:lncRNA from 1 species
AGCGCCGCGCCCCGGGACCCUGGAAGCCCGCCCGUCCCCGCCCCCCGCGGCCGCGACCUCAGCGCUCCCGGUGCGGUUCCCGGAAACUCCUCGAUUUCCCUGUGGCCUCCGCUUUUGCAAGAAACCGAAACCCAAGCCCCGCCCCUCCGGCGCGGCCUCGCGGGACCCGGCUGCUCUCAGCAGGGGGGCGGUGGAGCGCAGCGGCAGUGACCUAACGGGGCCUCGCCUGCAGCUUGGGAGGCGGCUCGCGGUGUACUGGCCACAUGGGGUGCGGAGUGUGGGGGCCCAGGAGCGUUUACAAAGAGCUGCCCCCUGCCCACCCCGCGUUGCUAGUUUCGCGGCGGCGGCGUGUCUUGGGCGCAGAGGUGUCUGGCGACCUGCCCGGGGUCACACAGCCUGCAGCUGGAGGCCGCGCACGCCCUGGCCGCAGCGGGAGGCGGGGCGCCCAGGCCACCCGCAGGUGAGCCUGGGGCCUGGGCCGCAGCUAGGGUCAGCGGCGCUCCCGCCUGCCCGGAGCGGCCCCGCGCCCCAUUUGGGGCGGAGCGGCGAGGUGGAGGCUGGGCACCAGGGCCUGCGCCCCUCCUCUCCCGACGCCCCCAACUCCAGCCGGGUCGGCGCGCGUGCGCCCCCUGGGGGAGAGGGCACCAAGCCGGGGCGGAGAGGGGCCGAGCGCCCUGAGCAGGGUCUCGGCCGCCGGGCCCGCCCCCGACACCUCCCCCGGCCUCGCCACCCUCCGGGCGGGUGGGGAGCCUAGCGCUUUCCUCCCAACGCGGUGUUUAUAAGAAACGAAAGUCGCGCGGAGGCCCGGCGGCCCACGCGGUCGCGCCCCACGCCCUCGGGCGCUGGCUGCGGGGGCCCCGGAACAGCCCCGCCCGGAGCGGCCCUCCGUCCUGGGCGCUUUCCGAGCCGGCUGCAGCCUCCACUCUACUCGGGAUUUUCUAACAGCGCAACACGGAUUCUGCUGUGUCAUGCCGCAUUUUUUGCGAACGCUUGGAGAGGGGAGGGGCUGGUCUUGUGCCCCGGGGAACCACCGGGGCCAAACCCAGAGUAGACCCUGAGCAGGAGCGUG